GACGUAGGGCGCGAGCGUUGUCCGGAUUUAUUGGGCGUAAAGAGCUCGUAGGCGGCUCGUUGCGUCGGCUGUGAAAACCCGCAGCUCAACUGUGGGCUUGCAGCCGAUACGGGCGGGCUGGGAUUCGGUAGGGGAGACUGGAAUUCCUGGUGUAGCGGUGAAAUGCGCAGAUAUCAGGAGGAACACCGGUGGCGAAGGCGGGUCUCUGGGCAGUAACUGACGCUGGAGGAGCGAAAGCGUGGGGAGCGAACAGG
rnacentral:rRNA from 1 species